GACGGAGGAUGCAAGUGUUAUCCGGAAUCACUGGGCGUAAAGCGUCUGUAGGUGGUCAAAUAAGUCAACUGUUAAAUCUUGAGGCUCAACCUCAAAAUCGCAGUCGAAACUAUUAGACUAGAGUAUAGUAGGGGUAAAGGGAAUUUCCAGUGGAGCGGUGAAAUGCGUAGAGAUUGGAAAGAACACCGAUGGCGAAGGCACUUUACUGGGCUAUUACUAACACUCAGAGACGAAAGCUAGGGUAGCAAGUGGG
rnacentral:rRNA from 1 species